GGGUCUGUAGUUCAGUGGAAGAGAACAGCCGUCUUCUAAGCGGCGUGGCGCGGGUUCGAGUCCUGCCAGACCCU
rnacentral:tRNA from 1 species